GUGGUCUUUAUGAUGUUUAUCAUCUGGGUAUCAUGAUUGUUUCUUUUACUGAAAACAACGGGGACAGAAGUCUGAAACUUCCAUGAUACCAUACAUAUGUGUACAUACCAUACAUACAUGUAUAUAAUACAUGAUGCAUACGACAAUCAAUAAGCGAUAAACAUAUCAGAUCCAUCUCUGAAUAAGUGAUUUUAUAUCACAUCCAUCAUCCAAGAGUCAAGUUCGUCUCUUUGUCGGUACGUUGGUACUAACUUGUUCACGGACUUGCUCUCGAGCCCUGCAUCCAUCCGAAAAUCAAGUUCCGCACAGAAAAGUGAUUUUAUCACACAGGGCUUGUUUUUAUCCACAAAAUAAGUGAGUUUCUCACAUUAUUAUACGUCAAAACAGAUGAUAAAUGGUAUACUCACAAGUAAGAUGAACUAUGGUGCAUACCUUAAUACAGGAAUGUGUCGUAAGUGGAUGAACACAUGUCGAUAAGUAUAAAUCAUACCUUAACGUAUCCUCAAUUCACAUGGUUAUAUCUGAUUGUUGAGUUUAAGUGGACAACAAUACCGAUAAUCGUUAUAGGAUACUUAUCUAAAUGUUAACUUAUUGAACAACAAGAGUGUUUUGGCAUAUGACCGUACACUGAUAUGAUUCUUUUACCCUCAAAACUCGCAAAAAGAAUGACGGUAAAUAUUUAUUUAUAUUUCUCUAUUUCUGCAUGUCUGUAAAUAUUUAUUUAUUGCUUUCCGUUUUUACAUUUGAAAUAUUCAAAAAUACCAAAAAGAUUUUAGGUGUGUUUUAAUAUAAACUUUUAUAAAAGCCAAAAAGAUUUUGCUUCUAUCUUAUUUUUGAAUGACUGAUGUUGGAACUUGAAUCUAUUCCACCUGAAACCUAAUUAAAAACCUAAAACAACUGCAUCUUCAUAAACGGUCAAAGUUAUCAAGUUUUGAAAGUUAAAGAUCUAAAAUUGAACAAUUUUGAAACUUUUAAAAUGUUGUUGGUUGGUAGUUGUUUGAGAGUUGGUCACAUGCGUGUCGUGUGCUUAUACUGUUUGAAAUCAACUCUUAGUGAGAUGCGGCAUCCGAACUAG
rnacentral:lncRNA from 1 species